rnacentral:lncRNA from 10 species
AAGAAGGCAGACGUGAAGGGCCCGGCUGUGGGCAGAGCACAGACAGCCCUGGUCCCCAGCCCUGCCUGACGCCCCUCUGCAGGCCAGGACCUGAUCCCCGCCACCGAAUCCACAGCUGCGUGGAGAAGGCGCUGAGCCUGGGCGUCUGCAGUGGGAGAUAGCUGGGCUGGGACCAUCCAGAGCUCCGGACCCCGAGGGGAUGGGACAUGAGCCCUGUGGGCCCUGCGAUGGGCCGUCUGUCACCCUGCAGCAUGGAUCCUGUCCACUGGGUCUGCACCCAAGCACUGGGACACCAGCCAUGGCCAUACGGGGUACAGCACGUGGGACCUGCUGGAUGUCCCCCUCACAGCCCUUUCCCUCUCCCCCAGGACUGACUCCAGCACCCGAGGCCCUUCCCCCAACCUGGCCCAAAGCUCCCCUUUCUCUGAGACUUAGAUUUCCUUUUGUUUUUGGAAACCCAGUUGGGUCCCACCUGGCGUCCCCCUGGCACAGCUGGGGAGACUGAGACCAGGAGGGAAUGGACCUGCCUGAGGGCACAGAGGAGGCAGCAGCUCGCAAAACAAGGGGCGAUUUUGUUUCAGUUUUGACCUUUCCAGUUCUGGGGUUCAGAAUUUCCUCCAGUUAGGGAAGGUGUCUGGUCGCCUCCAAGGAGGAGGGGAGGCCCCAGGCUCUUCGACUCCCACAGGAAGAUUGCCUGUCCCCCUCCCCAACCCGUCCACUGACCUCUCCCCAGAAGGCAGAGAAACCCCGGUUCCAGUAGGGCUGUGGCUGCCUUCGGUUGCCUGUUCCCUGUGCAAGUGCCCUGCCCUCUCAGAGUAGCAGAGGAACCUUCUGGAAGCCAUAGAAGCCUGGCCUCUGCACAGGGAAAAGCCAGGUUUUCCCUUGUGGGAUCCUGUGGAGAAUGAGCUCAGACGGAUUCCUCAUAUUCUAAUCCGACACCACUGGAGACCUUGACUCCUCCUUCCAGAACGGGAACCCCCUUGUCCAGCGUCACGGAUACCGGGCCCCACAGUCUCCCUGCAUCUGCAUUGACCCUCCACGGAGCUCACAGCAGGGAGGGUCUGCGUGGUCCACCUCUACCCCACGCACAGGCAAACCUGAGAAGGAACGUUUAAUCACCAUUCACAGCCCUUGCUUCUUUCUAGAGAAAUAAAACAAACUUACACCAGAAUAUGAAAACAACGUGAAACACACAAAAGUUAAGUGUGAGCCCGUGCACUGUGACAGGUGUCAGCAGCGUGAGUCUCGCCAGCGUCAGGAGCUGGAACGUCUUCAUCAUCCCCGAGUCCUCUGGUCCUCCCUGCCCUUCCGCAGCGGGAGGGUCCACUCUUGUGGGUUCCCAGUCCUCCCUGAACUUCCCCAGAGGGAGGGUCCACUCUUGUGGGUUCCUGGUCCUCCCUGAACUUCCCCAGCAGGAGGGUCCACUCUCGUGGGUUCCCGGUCCUCCCCGCCCUUCCCCAGCGGGAGGGUCCACUCUUGUGGGUUAUGUGAUUCUAGCUUCCCGCUUUCUGUCCGGAGCCUGCAGAGGAAUGGGACCACGAGCUACACGUGGGUUGGACCUGCCUGUUUUGAGAGAGGGCCCUGUCCCUGAGGGUUCAUAUCCCUUGAACAUGGUUGAGAGUUUUGUUCCUUUUCAUUGCUGACUUGAAGCCAUGUCAUGAAGAGCCACAGCUUGGCCGUUUUUCUGAUGAUGCCCAUGUGGGUGGAUUUUAGUUCUUACUACUAUGAAUAAAGCUGCUGUUAGC